CAGUCGCCACGGUAAAACGGAGGGUGCAAGCGUUAUCCGGAUUUAUUGGGUUUAAAGGGUCCGUAGGCGGACUUAUAAGUCAGUGGUGAAAGCCUGUCGCUUAACGAUAGAACUGCCAUUGAUACUGUAAGUCUUGAGUAUAUUUGAGGUAGCUGGAAUAAGUAGUGUAGCGGUGAAAUGCAUAGAUAUUACUUAGAACACCAAUUGCGAAGGCAGGUUACCAAGAUAUAACUGACGCUGAGGGACGAAAGCGUGGGUAGCGAACAGGAUUAGAUACCCCCGUAGUCCCUGUCUCUUAUAC
rnacentral:rRNA from 1 species